GACGAACGCUGGCGGCGUGCUUAACACAUGCAAGUCGAACGGAAAGGCCCUGCUUUUGUGGGGUGCUCGAGUGGCGAACGGGUGAGUAACACGUGAGUAACCUGCCCUUGACUUUGGGAUAACUUCAGGAAACUGGGGCUAAUACCGGAUAGGAGCUCCUGCUGCAUGGUGGGGGUUGGAAAGUUUCGGCGGUUGGGGAUGGACUCGCGGCUUAUCAGCUUGUUGGUGGGGUAGUGGCUUACCAAGGCUUUGACGGGUAGCCGGCCUGAGAGGGUGACCGGCCACAUUGGGACUGAGAUACGGCCCAGACUCCUACGGGAGGCAGCAGUGGGGAAUAUUGCACAAUGGGCGGAAGCCUGAUGCAGCAACGCCGCGUGCGGGAUGGCGGCCUUCGGGUUGUAAACCGCUUUCGCCUGUGACGAAGCGUGAGUGACGGUAAUGGGUAAAGAAGCACCGGCUAACUACGUGCCAGCAGCCGCGGUGAUACGUAGGGUGCGAGCGUUGUCCGGAUUUAUUGGGCGUAAAGGGCUCGUAGGUGGUUGAUCGCGUCGGAAGUGUAAUCUUGGGGCUUAACCCUGAGCGUGCUUUCGAUACGGGUUGACUUGAGGAAGGUAGGGGAGAAUGGAAUUCCUGGUGGAGCGGUGGAAUGCGCAGAUAUCAGGAGGAACACCAGUGGCGAAGGCGGUUCUCUGGGCCUUUCCUGACGCUGAGGAGCGAAAGCGUGGGGAGCGAACAGGCUUAGAUACCCUGGUAGUCCACGCUGUAAACGGUGGGUACUAGGUGUGGGGUCCAUUCCACGGGUUCCGUGCCGUAGCUAACGCUUUAAGUACCCCGCCUGGGGAGUACGGCCGCAAGGCUAAAACUCAAAGGAAUUGACGGGGCCCCGCACAAGCGGCGGAGCAUGCGGAUUAAUUCGAUGCAACGCGUAGAACCUUACCUGGGUUUGACAUGGAUCGGGAGUGCUCAGAGAUGGGUGUGCCUCUUUUGGGGUCGGUUCACAGGUGGUGCAUGGCUGUCGUCAGCUCGUGUCGUGAGAUGUUGGGUUAAGUCCCGCAACGAGCGCAACCCUUGUUCACUGUUGCCAGCACGUUAUGGUGGGGACUCAGUGGAGACCGCCGGGGUCAACUCGGAGGAAGGUGGGGAUGACGUCAAGUCAUCAUGCCCCUUAUGUCCAGGGCUUCACGCAUGCUACAAUGGCUGGUACAGAGAGUGGCGAGCCUGUGAGGGUGAGCGAAUCUCGGAAAGCCGGUCUCAGUUCGGAUUGGGGUCUGCAACUCGACCUCAUGAAGUCGGAGUCGCUAGUAAUCGCAGAUCAGCAACGCUGCGGUGAAUACGUUCCCGGG
rnacentral:rRNA from 1 species